rnacentral:rRNA from 1 species
UACGAAGGGGGCUAGCGUUGCUCGGAAUCACUGGGCGUAAAGGGUGCGUAGGCGGUUUGGUAAGUCUCUUGUGAAAUCUAUGGGCUCAACUCAUAGUCUGCAAGGGAAACUGCCGGGCUUGAGUGUGGGAGAGGUGAGUGGAAUUCCUGGUGUAGCGGUGAAAUGCGUAGAUAUCAGGAGGAACACCUGUGGCGAAAGCGGCUCACUGGACCACAACUGACGCUGAUGCACGAAAGCGUGGGGAGCGAACAGG